AAAUUGAAGAGUUUGAUCAUGGCUCAGAUUGAACGCUGGCGGCAGGCCUAACACAUGCAAGUCGAACGGUAACAGGAAGCAGCUUGCUGCUUCGCUGACGAGUGGCGGACGGGUGAGUAAUGUCUGGGAAACUGCCUGAUGGAGGGGGAUAACUACUGGAAACGGUGGCUAAUACCGCAUAACGUCGCAAGACCAAAGAGGGGGACCUUCGGGCCUCUUGCCAUCAGAUGUGCCCAGAUGGGAUUAGCUUGUUGGUGAGGUAACGGCUCACCAAGGCGACGAUCCCUAGCUGGUCUGAGAGGAUGACCAGCCACACUGGAACUGAGACACGGUCCAGACUCCUACGGGAGGCAGCAGUGGGGAAUAUUGCACAAUGGGCGCAAGCCUGAUGCAGCCAUGCCGCGUGUAUGAAGAAGGCCUUCGGGUUGUAAAGUACUUUCAGCGGGGAGGAAGGUGUUGCGGUUAAUAACCGCAGCAAUUGACGUUACCCGCAGAAGAAGCACCGGCUAACUC
rnacentral:rRNA from 1 species